UGGCCAUUUGUGUAAGAAGAAAACAAAGCACCGUCUUUUUAUCCUUUUAAUGGAGAGCGCCCCACUGUCAAUUUGUCCACAGAAUAUAUGAAAUAGUUUACUACUUGUAUGCUUCUGAGAGCAGCUGAAUGAAAGUAAGAUUUGAUAACUCAACUUUAUGUGAACCAAUCUGCCUUGCCCGGACAAAGGGAAGCAGUUUUAUAGGAUUUUCCAUGGGCUGCUACCGACUGGAGUCACUCAGGAGCGCUUUCUGACCUCCAAUAAUUUAUGAAAUUUAUUGCUACUUAAGCUUGUCUGGACAAUUUUGGGUCGUUAGAAGAGUAAAUAAUUUAUGUGCAGAUUACAGCAAGGUCAUCUUAAAUACUUCAUCAGAAUGAAAUGUGAUUGCAUCAUCUCUGACCAAACGACACAUUCCCCGUAGGUGAGGCACCGGCUCUUCCCCAGAGCUUCCUCGGCAGAGGGGGCCUGCAGGACUGUAGCCGACUAGCCUGAUGGAUGGCAUUCCACGGAGAAGACCAGGCUAUGCCACGACCCAGAUGGUUGGGACCAUGCUAGCGGACAGCCUUUCUCUGAUGGGGCAAACUCACGACUUGUGUGAUGAAGCCUGGAAUGAAGGGAACAGAGGAAAAUUCAUAGCAAACUGGUGGAAGUUUCCUUCUGACAGGCAGAAAACAAACUGAGAAGUGGAGUCAAGCUUUCCUUCAGCUGAGAGGUGAAACGGGAACUACUUUGGAGAUCCGGAGGCUUGACGGGGGGUAGCCUCUUUAAAACGAAAAGUGGAAAGCCAGCCCCCGAGACACCAUGAGCAAUUAUAAGCUGGCUUCAGCAAAUAUUGGUGAUGGUAGGUUUUAUUUCUUUUGAAGGUAACUACAUCUUUUGACAAAUCUUAAAUCACAAGAGGGGUUUACGUCCUAUCACUUUUUCUGUAUCUCAGCAGUUUCUAACGCUGGGCUCUAGAGAGAAAAACACUGAGGGCUCAGUAAAUGCGUGAUUUACUUUCGGUAACAGGUAUGGGUUAUUCUAUCGGUGAAUAGACAAAUUUAACAGCUUCUAUUUGAACUUUUAUUUUUCUUUUUUACUUUUAUUAGUCAUAUGCUAAGUUGUCAUUUUCACUGAGUUAUUUACAACCCUUUCUUACACUGUAUUUAACAUAGCAUCGCAUUCCAUGGUGAGUGGAAACCCGGAAACUACAAAAAUCAUGUAA
rnacentral:lncRNA from 1 species